GUGCUCGCUUUGGCAGUCCAUAUACUAAACUUGGAAUGAUACAGAAAAGAUUAGCACGGCCCUUGUGCAAGGAUGACAUGCAAAUUCACAAAGCAUUCCUUGUUUAA